rnacentral:rRNA from 1 species
UACAGAGGUGGCAAGCGUUGUUCGGAAUUACUGGGCGUAAAGGGCGCGUAGGCGGUCUUGUAAGUCCCGCGUGAAAUCCCCCGGCUCAACUGGGGAAUGGCGCGGGAGACUGCAUGGCUUGAGUUCGGGAGAGGGAAGCGGAAUUCCGGGUGUAGCGGUGAAAUGCGUAGAUAUCCGGAGGAACACCGGUGGCGAAGGCGGCUUCCUGGACCGACACUGACGCUGAGGCGCGAAAGCUAGGGGAG